UUUUCCCACUAGGUCACCCUGGGAAGAAGUAUUUUAAAAAGAUAAACAGCAAGAAGAGGAGGGGACCUUCUUUUUUAAAUUCUGCAAUUUCCAGAUCUAAGUGAAGUCAGUUUCCAGAACUUUUCCCUGAACAAGGAGGACUGCACAUCGGAGAAGGAUCUAACUGCAAUCGGAAACUAGACUGUAAGCUCCUUGAGGGAAAGGACCGCGUCUAUUAACUCUAUUGUACUCUCUCGAGGGCUUAGUACAGUGUUCUGAGGGACUGAAUGGUUGGAAAAGCAGUCUUAUCAUCCACACAUUUCCUCUGAUGAAUUGUGGUAUAGAAGGGAAAAUCCACCAUUCAUCAGUCAACAAGACUGAUUGAGCAGUGUGCUGAGCCUUAGUCUGCUGAGAGACAUGAAGAGAAGAAUGACGUGAUCACUGCACUCCUCCGUUUCUCUGAUGUCUUUAUGUACAUUAAUGGAAUUUUAUUAGAACAGUGCUCUGCAUGUAGUAAGUGCUCAAUAAAUACCACUGAUGGAUCGACUGAUUGAUUGAACCCUGCCCCUACAAUCUAGUCAGGGUGUCGCUUUCCUUCCAAAUCCUCUCCUCCACUUUUUAAUCACAGGUAA